GACGAACCGUACGAACGUUAUUCGGAAUUACUGGGCUUAAAGGGUGCGUAGGCUGCGCGGAAAGUUGGGUGUGAAAUCCCUCGGCUCAACCGAGGAACUGCGCCCAAAACUACCGUGCUCGAGGGAGACAGAGGUGAGCGGAACUUAGGGUGGAGCGGUGAAAUGCGUUGAUAUCCUAAGGAACACCCGUGGCGAAAGCGGCUCACUGGGUCUCUUCUGACGCUGAGGCACGAAAGCGAGGGUAGCGAACGGG
rnacentral:rRNA from 1 species